GACGAACGCUGGCGGCGUGCUUAACACAUGCAAGUCGAACGGAAAGGCCCUGCUUUUGUGGGGUGCUUGAGUGGCGAACGGGUGAGUAACACGUGAGUAACCUGCCCUUGACUUUGGGAUAACUUCAGGAAACUGGGGCUAAUACCGGAUAGGAGCUCCUGCUGCAUGGUGGGGGUUGGAAAGUUUCGGCGGUUGGGGAUGGACUCGCGGCUUAUCAGCUUGUUGGUGGGGUAGUGGCUUACCAAGGCUUUGACGGGUAGCCGGCCUGAGAGGGUGACCGGCCACAUUGGGACUGAGAGACGGACCAGAAGCCUACGGGAGGCAGCGGUGGGGAGUAUUGCACAAUGGGGGGAAGCCUGAUGCGGCGACGCCGCGUGCGGGAUGACGGCCUUCGGGUUGUAAACCGCUUUCGCCUGUGACGAAGCGUGAGUGACGGUAAUGAGUAAAGAAGCACCGGCUAACUACGUG
rnacentral:rRNA from 1 species